UACAGAGGGGGCAAGCGUUGUUCGGAAUUACUGGGCGUAAAGGGCGCGUAGGCGGCCCGCUAAGUCGAACGUGAAAUCCCCGAGCUCAACUCGGGAACUGCGUCCGAUACUGGCGGGCUUGAAUCCGGGAGAGGGAUGCGGAAUUCCAGGUGUAGCGGUGAAAUGCGUAGAUAUCUGGAGGAACACCGGUGGCGACGGCGGCAUCCUGGACCGGCAUUGACGCUGAGGCGCGAAAGCUAGGGGAGCAAACGGG
rnacentral:rRNA from 1 species